UGCCACUCGGCAAAAAUACGCCACAUCAGGUGGGAGCUAGUAGGACCGGACAGGUCUCGAAAACCCUCAAGGCUAAAAGAAA
ncrna:unclassified sequences RT-18 RNA